rfam:Enterococcus sp. RIT-PI-f contig_15, whole genome shotgun sequence.
GAAAGCCGUGUGAGGUGAAAGUCUCAUGCACGGUUUGGAGCGGGGGAAAAUCUGGAGAUAAUCUCAAAAGAUUACCUAUCGCUAU